rfam:Firmicutes bacterium CAG:124 genomic scaffold, scf122
GAAGGAAUCUCUGGAGAACUCAUUGAAUUGAGUGCCGAAGGUGCAAGGCGCAAGCCGAAUCUCUCAGGCAAAAGGACAGAGCCGCAGCU